rnacentral:misc_RNA from 1 species
GUGAAUCAUCAAAUUUUUGAACGCAAAUUGCACUCUCUGGGAUUCCUGAGAGUAUGCCUGUUUGAGGGUCAGUUUAAAUAAAAAUCUGUGUGGUUUCUGCCUUUCGUGGGGACGCAUCGUAUUUGUGUCGUUUUGCCUUCGGGUAAGUGACCUAAAAUUUUUCUUGCUUUUUUUCGAACGUAUUUAAUUGUUUUUACGAUUCGUUUCUAUAUAUAAUAAUAA